rnacentral:rRNA from 1 species
UGAGGAAUCUUGCGCAAUGGGGGAAACCCUGACGCAGCAACGCCGCGUGAGUGAGGAAGGCCUUCGGGUCGUAAAGCUCUGUCAGAUGGGAAGAAAUGGGUGGGGGCUAAUAUCAUCCAUCCUUGACGGUACCAUCAGAGGAAGCACCGGCUAACUCCGUGCCAGCAGCCGCGGUAAUACGGGGGGUGCAAGCGUUGUUCGGAAUCAUUGGGCGUAAAGCGCGCGCAGGCGGCUUGGUAAGUCAGAUGUGAAAUCCCUGGGCUUAACCCAGGAAGUGCAUUUGAUACUGCCUCGCUAGAGUACGGGAGAGGAAAGUGGAAUUCCUGGUGUAGAGGUGAAAUUCGUAGAUAUCAGGAGGAACACCGGUGGCGAAGGCGACUUUCUGGCCCGAUACUGACGCUCAGGCGCGAAAGCGUGGGGAGC